rnacentral:rRNA from 1 species
UACGAAGGGGCUAGCGUUGCUCGGAAUCACUGGCGUAAAGGGCGCGUAGGCGGCCGAUCAAGUCAGGGGUGAAAGCCUGUGGCUCAACCACAGAAUUGCCUUUGAUACUGUUUGGCUCGAGACCGGAAGAGGUUGGUGGAACUGCGAGUGUAGAGGUGAAAUUCGUAGAUAUUCGCAAGAACACCAGUGGCGAAGGCGGCUUACUGGUCCGGUUCUGACGCUGAGGCGCGAAAGCGUGGGAGCA